rnacentral:rRNA from 1 species
GUGAGGAAUAUUGCGCAAUGGAGGCAACUCUGACGCAGCCAUGCCGCGUGCAGGAAGAAGGCGCUACGCGUUGUAAACUGCUUUUAACCGGGAAGAAACCCCAGGACGUGUCCUGGGUUGACGGUACCGGAGGAAUAAGCACCGGCUAACUUCGUGCCAGCAGCCGCGGUAAUACGAAGGGUGCAAGCGUUAUCCGGAUUCAUUGGGUUUAAAGGGUGCGUAGGCGGAGCGUUAAGUCAGUGGUGAAAUCCUGCAGCUUAACUGUAGACUUGACAUGGAUACUGGCGCUCUUGAGUGCGCUUGAAGUGGGCGGAAUGUGCCGUGUAGCGGUGAAAUGCUUAGAUAUGGCACAGAACACCAAUUGCGAAGGCAGCUCACUAAGGCGAUACUGACGCUGAGGCACGAAAGCGUGGGGAUCGAACAGGAUUAGAAACCCCAGUAGUCC